UCUAUCAUUUAUUCAGGAAAUCCUGUACUACCGAUGUUUUGGAUGGAAAUACAAUCAAUAUCAUUAUCUUCAAGACAUCAGACAUAAAGAACACAGAGGUUCCUUACAGUUGUAGUCUGGGAAAUGGAUCAUGUCCCUUGCUGGCCAUUAUAUUUGUACCUUGCUCCUGUGUCCGUGUAGCUUUCACCUAAAGGAAAACUGAGGAGAACAAUUUCACAGGACUUAAAAAUUUAUAAUAGAGCAUUUCUUGGCUAAGACAGCGUUUCAUGUGUACAGAGCUUAACACAAUGCUUGACACCUAAUAAAAGUUUAACUAAAUUAAGGGAACAACAUGGGCUUUUGAGUCAUGACUAGGAUUCAAAGCUGGGUGGAUUCUCCUGUCCCUCAUUAGACAGGGGUUAAGUCAUUUACCCUUGUCGAGAUGGAGCUUCAUCAUCUAUAAAAUGGAGGAAAUAAUACCUAUCUUACAGGAUUCUUAUGAGCAUCGUUCAGAAGAUUCUUGGGAAAAAUUCUACUUCAGAAGCUUCAAGCCCCUGACCCCUGUCAUGGAUGCAUUAGUCUUCUGUCUCUCAAGAAAAAGAAAAGGUGGAAAUAAAAGAUCGUGUCUAUUAGCUCUUCUUAAAUUAGUCCAACAAAAUUCGAAGUGCUCCUUUCUCAGAAAGAUAAAUUUCAUGCUGUUGGAACAAAUGGAACAUAUAAUGCUUGCUAAGUCUCUGGCGGGUGUCUGUCUAAAGCUUGAUGUUCAACGUUGGUUCUAAAGAACAGGGAAGUACCUUCCCAUUGAUCCACCUCAAUAAGGCCAUGGAGUAUGGGUUGAAUUUCACAACAGUCAUUUCUGCCCUAGAAGAAAUUAGAAAAAGGGGCAUGAGUCCUUUGAAACAAAUGUCCACUAUGAGGGUGAAACUUCCUAUUUCCAUCCACCCACUCCACUCCUACCCCAUAAUAAAAAUGGGAGGGUAGCAAUCUGCUUAGAUAUGUGAAAACUAGGGGAAAUCUUCCAUGCAAAAGGCUGAAACCAGUCAGGGUCAGAGCUGCUGCUGUGUAAUAUUGCUCUGAAUAGAUAAAAAAAAAAAGACAGUAAAAAACAGCCAUUACCUAUCACCUCAAUUUUUAUCUUCAAAUGGCCACCUCUUUGCUUAUCUUAAAAAUCAGUCCAGACUUCCAGUUCCAGACAAGAUUGCAUAGACCCCUUUCGCCCUGUUCCUCCCCAUUAAGCACAACUAUAAACCCUGGAAAUUAGGAAAGAAACAGAAAAAUGAGAAGUUGGGAAGAUGGUAAGAAGAUGAACUCUUUUGAGACCCUAAGACUAAAAGAACAACCUAGCAGCACAGUGUCUUAUGUGCUCCCACCUGAUAGAAGAAGACAACUCAGACCCAGCCUUUCCCUACUCCUGACCUAGCAACAGAAGGCAGCCCAGGGGAAGAGACACGAGGAAUGUGCACACACACACGGUGAAGACCAACUUGAGGACACAGAGACAAUGUGACCGUCUCAAGUCAAGGAGACCUCAGGAGAAACCAAACUGCUAAUACCUUGAUCUUGAACUUCCAGUCUCCAGAACGUUUAGGGGAAUCUCGCAACAUCUGAUGUGGUCUUCCUCGGAAGAGAAAGGAAGUUCAACCUAGCAACGUCCGAAAAGAGCAUGCUACGAACACUCAAAAGUGGCAAAUGACCUAGGGGUGGAGCCAUCGAUGUGACAGAUGUGACUGACUCUAGUCUGUUCGGCAGUGUGUCACAGGAUGCUCAGUGUGCCGGGCCUCCCCCACCUUCAUUUCUUUCUUUAAUCAUUUUCAUCUCACAUUUUGAUGAUUUUUCUCAGCCCUUUAAAAGUCUCAUUGAAUCCACUAAUGAACGGAGCACUGAAAAUGUGCUAAUUUGCGAACCUGUGGUCUCAUGGCCAAACUGAUGCUGCCUUUUCCCAGAUGACAGUCCCAGAAUUGAAAGUGACCGCACACCGUGGUCCUCAGAGGACGGAAAUGCGUUCAUGAGUGAGAAAUGAAAUUGCAAGUUUAUGGAGCGUCGUUUCAUAUCUAGACGGCCACGUUGUGCCU